AACACAAAUCAUCAAUGGGUAACCCUGAUGACCCACACCCAACCCCGGAUGAGGCGUACGAAAAACUCUAGGAGCCUCUAUCCUACAACCCUGAUUCUAGACCUCCAGACUCUCCUAUCAAGGGUCAUGUCAUCGGAAACCUGCAUUCUAGUCAUGUCCUGCCUAAUCACCUCUCCCCAAUGCUUCUUAGGCCUCCCUCUGCCUCGCCGACCGCCAACAAUCUCCAGCCGCNNN
rnacentral:lncRNA from 1 species